ensembl:lncRNA
GGCCCACUGCUGUAUCUCAAAUCCUCCAGUAGCUCGUAGUUGUCUCAUUUUGUACAGGAGCUGUUUAGCUUUUUUGUAGAGCUCUGGUGUCUGUGUAAUGAAAGACGAGUGUAAGCAUGCCUCUCCAUCAGCUGGAUGUGGUAGACUUUUGACGGGUCCCUGCAGCACCCACACCCACAACUCAGUACAGACUUCUACAGGCCCUCCAGGUGGUCAAUGGAUCACUGGGCAAACAGGAGUAACAGGAUGUGAUCCAAUCAGGAUAAUAGGUUUUGUCACGGUCCUGGGUCGGUGACCAUGUGUUUUUGGUUUUGUAAUUUUACUUUUGAUUUUAUUAUGAAUUAUGACUGUUUGUGUUUUGGUUUCCCAGUGUUUAUUCUUUGCUCCCUCUGUUUUGUGUCAUCCCUGCCUGUAUAUCCCUUCUAGUGUAGUCAGGUCUCUGUGUUAAGCCCGCGUCUCUGAGUCUGUGUCUUUGCUUGUGUGUGUUUUCCUGUUUUACUUUGAAGGUCCGUGUCUGAUGUCAGUGUGUUCAGUUUUCGUUUCCCCUGUCCCGUCAUGUCUAAUUACUCCCAGCUGUGCCCUCCUUCUGUGUCUCAUUCCCUCGUUAUCCUUCUGUGUAUUUAAGCCUUGUGUCUGCCUCUGUUAGUUGCUGGUUUGUCUGUGUUAUAUGGUGUUUUGUUCUCUGGGCUGUGUCAUCUCUGUUCCGGUUUCGGGUUAGUUUUGUUAGUUUUCCCAGUUUAGGUUUGUCAGUUCUGUUCUCGCCACCCUCACCCUUUUUUUGUUGUUUGUCUUUUUCUUUUUCUUUUUUUUGCCUGUCCCGUUUGGCUCUUUUGCCAUCAGAAUUGUUGUCUAAAGGCAAAGAAAGAUGCCCAACGGAUUUACUUUACCAAAUUGACCAUCCCAGCCUUGCCGUAAUGGUCCAUUUGAUUCACCUUUUAUUGUUUAUUUUACUUUCACUUACUGAAUACGGGACAGACUUGACUGGGGGAAAGAAGGGGAGAAAGAAAGAGGGAAAGAGAAACAGCUGAGAAGAGGGACGGGGGAGAAGGGCAAAAACAAAAACCAACAGAAUGGGGAGGGAAAAAAAAAAUGCAUAUAUCAAUCACCUGGAUCACCUGCUGAGAAAGAAAAAAGAAAACAAGCAGAAGAGAACAAGAGUAAUAGAAUAAACAGCAUCACAAUGAUAUAUGGG